rnacentral:rRNA from 2 species
GGCGGCGUGCCUAAUACAUGCAAGUCGAACGAAGCUUUCUUUCACCGAAUGCUUGCAUUCACCGAAAGAAGCUUAGUGGCGAACGGGUGAGUAACACGUAGGCAACCUGCCCAAAAGAGGGGGAUAACACUUGGAAACAGGUGCUAAUACCGCAUAACCAUGAACACCGCAUGAUGUUCAUGUAAAAGACGGCUUUUGCUGUCACUUUUGGAUGGGCCUGCGGCGUAUUAACUUGUUGGUGGGGUAACGGCCUACCAAGGUGAUGAUACGUAGCCGAACUGAGAGGUUGAUCGGCCACAUUGGGACUGAGACACGGCCCAAACUCCUACGGGAGGCAGCAGUAGGGAAUCUUCCACAAUGGACGAAAGUCUGAUGGAGCAACGCCGCGUGAAUGAAGAAGGCCUUCGGGUCGUAAAAUUCUGUUGUCAGAGAAGAACGUGCGUGAGAGUAACUGUUCACGUAUUGACGGUAUCUGACCAGAAAGCCACGGCUAACUACGUGCCAGCAGCCGCGGUAAUACGUAGGUGGCGAGCGUUGUCCGGAUUUAUUGGGCGUAAAGGGAACGCAGGCGGUCUUUUAAGUCUGAUGUGAAAGCCUUCGGCUUAACCCAAGUAGUGCAUUGGAAACUGGAAGACUUGAGUGCAGAAGAGGAGAGUGGAACUCC